rnacentral:sRNA from 1 species
AAGCGACCGCAUCUCAAGAGCCGGAAGACGGGGUAAAAACCGGCCGCGUCAGACCCGCGCAAGACGGAGUCAGCAACGCCCCCGCAGAGUCGCGCCGGGCCUGCCUAUGCGU